UACAGAGGGUGCAAGCGUUGUUCGGAAUUACUGGGCGUAAAGCGCGUGUAGGCGGCUUAUUAAGUCGGACGUGAAAUCCCUUGGCUUAACCAAGGAACUGCGUCCGAUACUGCUAGGCUUGAGUGUCGGAGGGGGUGGCGGAAUUCCCGGUGUAGAGGUGAAAUUCGUAGAUAUCUGGAGGAACACCGGUGGCGAAGGCGGCAUCCUGGACCGGCAUUGACGCUGAGGCGCGAAAGCUAGGGGAGCAAACGGG
rnacentral:rRNA from 1 species